ensembl:snRNA U6 U6 spliceosomal RNA
UGGCUUCCAGAGCACAUAUACUAAAACUGGAACUAUAGAGAAGAUUAGUUUGGCCCCUGGACAAGGAUUACAUGCAAAUUUGUUUAAAAAAAAAAAGAAAA